rnacentral:rRNA from 1 species
UACGGAGGGGGCAAGCGUUAUCCGGAUUUACUGGGAUUAAAGGGCGCGUAGGCGGGUUGGUAAGUCAGUGGUGAAAUCCCCGAGCUUAACUUGGGAACUGCCAUUGAUACUAUCAGUCUUGAAUACUGUGGAGGUUAGCGGAAUAUGUCAUGUAGCGGUGAAAUGCUUGGAUAUGACAUAGAACACCAAUUGCGAAGGCAGCUGGCUACACAAAUAUUGACACUGAGGCUCGAAAGCGUGGGGAUCAAACAGG